rnacentral:rRNA from 1 species
GACGAACGCUGGCGGCGUGCUUAACACAUGCCAGUCGAACGAAGAGCGAUGGAAGCUUGCUUCUAUCAAUCUUAGUGGCGAACGGGUGAGUAACGCGUAAUCAACCUGCCCUUCAGAGGGGGACAACAGUUGGAAACGACUGCUAAUACCGCAUACGAUCUAAUCUCGGCAUCGAGGAUAGAUGAAAGGUGGCCUCUACAUGUAAGCUAUCACUGAAGGAGGGGAUUGCGUCUGAUUAGCUAGUUGGAGGGGUAACGGCCCACCAAGGCGAUGAUCAGUAGCCGGUCUGAGAGGAUGAACGGCCACAUUGGGACUGAGACACGGCCCAGACUCCUACGGGAGGCAGCAGUGGGGAAUCUUCCGCAAUGGACAAAAGUCUGACGGAGCAACGCCGCGUGAGUGAUGACGGCCUUCGGGUUGUAAAGCUCUGUUAAUCGGGACGAAAGGCCUUCUUGCGAAUAGUGAGAAGGAUUGACGGUACCGGAAUAGAAAGCCACGGCUAACUACGUG